rnacentral:rRNA from 1 species
CCUACGGGAGGCAGCAGUAGGGAAUCUUCCACAAUGGGCGAAAGCCUGAUGGAGCAACGCCGCGUGGGUGAAGAAGGUCUUCGGAUCGUAAAACCCUGUUGUUAGAGAAGAAAGUGCGUGAGAGUAACUGUUCACGUUUCGACGGUAUCUAACCAGAAAGCCACGGCUAACUACGUGCCAGCAGGCGCGGUAAUACGUAGGUGGCAAGCGUUUUCCGGUUUUGUUGGGGUUAAAGGGUGCGUAGGGUGUGAGGUAAGUCAGCGGUGAAAUGCCCCCGCUCAACGGGUUGAAGUGCCAUUGAUACUGGCUUGCUGGAAUACGGAUGCGGUGGGAGGAAUGUGUGGUGUAGCGGUGAAAUGCAUAGAUAUCACACAGAACACCGAUUGCGAAGGCAUCUUACGAAUCCGCGAUUGACGCUGAUGCACGAAAGCGUGGGUAUCAAACAGGAUUAGAUACCCGUGUAGUC